GGGGGCCUGCGGAGGGAUCAUUACAAGUGACCCCGGUCUAACCACCGGGAUGUUCAUAACCCUUUGUUGUCCGACUCUGUUGCCUCCGGGGCGACCCUGCCUUCGGGCGGGGGCUCCGGGUGGACACUUCAAACUCUUGCGUAACUUUGCAGUCUGAGUAAACUUAAUUAAUAAAUUAAAACUUUUAACAACGGAUCUCUUGGUUCUGGCAUCGAUGAAGAACGCAGCGAAAUGCGAUAAGUAAUGUGAAUUGCAGAAUUCAGUGAAUCAUCGAAUCUUUGAACGCACAUUGCGCCCCCUGGUAUUCCGGGGGGCAUGCCUGUUCGAGCGUCAUUUCACCACUCAAGCCUCGCUUGGUAUUGGGCAUCGCGGUCCGCCGCGUGCCUCAAAUCGACCGGCUGGGUCUUCUGUCCCCUAAGCGUUGUGGAAACUAUUCGCUAAAGGGUGUUCGGGAGGCUACGCCGUAAAACAACCCCAUUUCUAAGGUUGACCUCGGAUCAGGUAGGGAUACCCGCUGAACUUAAGCAUAUCAUA
rnacentral:rRNA from 1 species